UUCCGCGGUAGCUCAAUGGUGGAGCACUCGGCUGUUAACCGAUAGGUUGAAGGUUCGAAUCCUUUCCGCGGAGCCAU
rnacentral:tRNA from 6 species